UCUUAUUGAUAGUAGCAAUUGAUCCCAACUGAGGAAACUAACCAAGUAACAACAACACACCACGACCAAUCGAUGGCUGCAGGCCUAGCCGAUGUAGUACAUUGGGUCGGGCAGCUUGAAGGUGUGCGCGCCCUUGGGCGCGCCGAUGAUGUCGCUCCACUAGUCGCCUAUGUUUCCCACGGUGAAGUAGCCAGCGACCUGCAACUUCUGCCUCUCACCAGAUUUGUAAGUCACCAUGCAGCCCUUGAACCAUGGUUGCUUGACAGAAGGUUCAUCCAUCUAGAGAUGCCCUCGUGGCGGAGAUUGGCAACUAUGAUUGCCCACAGAUCCCUCGGUCCCGCCUGUUAGAAACACCGGCUUGACGCCCACUGUGAGCAGCUUGUAGUAUAGCCGAUUUGUCUCCGGUAGCGCAGGCGCGCCCCCAGUGGCGUAGCCAGCCCAAUAAGUCAGGGUGGUCCACCAAUAGAAAUAUUUACAUAAGUUUAUUUAUUUUCAAAGAAAUAUAUUUUUAAUACACUAUGGGGAAAUUCCAGGGUGGUCCAUGGACCACCCUGGCCACCCCCUAGCUACGCCACUGCGCGCCCCUGUAACGCCCCGGGUUUCGAUGCGCCAGGUGUCUGCUAGUUAUUCGCCGUCGUUGCCAUGUCAUUUGCUUGCGUGUUGCAUUUUGUCAUGUCAUCAUCUGCAUUUCAUCUGCAUGUUUUCAAAACUUGCAUCCGUUCGGUUUCCGCCGGUUCUCUCCGUUGUCCGUUCUGAGCCCAGCCACACUCGCCCGCGCCCACGGCACCUCCGAAAUAUUAUUUUAUAAGUGGCAUAAAAAUGUUCUCGGAAUGGGUUGAAACUUGUCGAGCGGUCUUAUUAUAGUGUAGACAGGCCGCCUGUCAAGUUUCCUCGCAUUCGGAGCUCGUUUGACAGCCCAACCGUUAAAUGUAUAGCGGCACCGUUGCCGGUAUUUUCGCCGGACGUUUCGGUCUCCGGGCCUCAUUUCUCCCCUCUCCUCUCAGCCUAACCCUCUCUUCUCAGCCCACCUAGGCCUGCCUAACCCCCUCUGCUCCGGACCGUCCGAUCGAGAUCGAACGGCUCCGAAACGGAGCUAACCCCCUAACCCUAGCCCCCCUUUCCUAUUUAAACACCCCCUAGUCCAUUUUUGGACUAACCUAGCGCCUCCACCUACCUCCUAGCCUUCCCCUACCUGCAGCCGCCGCCCCCUCCUCGAAAUCCACGCCUCCCCGCUGCACAUCCGCCACUUGGCACCGUCACACGGGCCAGCGCCGCCAUCCCCGCCGCCUGGAGCCANNNNNNNNNNNNNNNNNNNNNNNNNNNNNNNNNNNNNNNNNNNNNNNNNNNNNNNNNNNNNNNNNNNNNNNNNNNNNNNNNNNNNNNNNNNNNNNNNNNNNNNNNNNNNNNNNNNNNNNNNNNNNNNNNNNNNNNNNNNNNNNNNNNNNNNNNNNNNNNNNNNNNNNNNNNNNNNNNNNNNNNNNNNNNNNNNNNNNNNNNNNNNNNNNNNNNNNNNNNNNNNNNNNNNNNNNNNNNNNNNNNNNNNNNNNNNNNNNNNNNNNNNNNNNNNNNNNNNNNNNNNNNNNNNNNNNNNNNNNNNNNNNNNNNNNNNNNNNCGCCCGCCGCAGCCCGCGCACGUGCCCGAGCCCCGUGGCUCCUCCCGUCCGCCCGAGCCUCGCUCAAGCCGCCGGAGGCCACCGCCUCGCCGACGACCUGCCCCGCCGGCAUCUCCUCGUCCCGCGCCGCCUCCCAGGCGAGCCCUGCCGCCGCGCCUCCUCCCCUCCUCUCUCUUCUUUCCUGCCUUACUCUCUCUCUCUUCCCCGCAGGCUCUCCUCGCCGCCGGAGCCCCGAGCCCGCGCCUCCCGUCGCUCCCGAAGCGCCACCGCCAUCGGGAAUGGAUGGAUCCGGCCGGGAUCCGCCGGAUCCGCCCCAUCCCGGACCUCUCCGGCCAUCCCUCGCCUCGCCGCCGGCUCUCGUCGCCUUCCACGCCGCCGGUCUCGUCCCUGCGUCGGGAGGAUGACGCAGGCGUCGUCGGCCUCGUGGCCCGGCCUCCCCUCGUGGGCCCCGCAAGCAGGGCUCGGCCCAGCUCCUCCUCACCCGGCCUGCCUCUCUCCUUCCUGGGCCAAAGCCCACUAGGUGAGCCCCUGUCCGACCCUAUCCCUCGCCCUGCGCGAUAUUUAGUUAAACCGCGCCCGUCUGUUUUUUUCCAGAAAUCUGCUAAGUCCUGAAAUUACUGCAUUCUGGUGCAUACUUUGACCUGCUGUAUCUCUGCAUCCGUAGCUCCGUUUCGUGCAUGUAAUAUAUCAAAAUGUUCGAUGUGAGAUGCUCUCAUUUCAUUCCAUUGCACCAUGUUCAUUUGAGUCCAUCUUGAUGCCUGAAUCAUCGUUGCAACAGUGCUAUAUGAUGUUGUCUGCUGUCUGUUAACAGAACAUGUUUAUUUGUCAUUUUUGCCAUGUUUGAUGUGUGCAUCCUAUGAGUUUGAUGUCUACAUGUAUUUUGUGCUACAUCAUGCCAUCUUUAUAGAGGUAUAUGCCAUGUAUUUUUGUGAUCAAUGUGGUGACUAUAACAAGCAUGCAAAUUAGGCUUCGUGAUGUUGCUGAUUUGAGUCCCUGUUCUGCUGUUAUUUUAUGCCAUGUAAACUUGAUGCUACAGAGAGAUCCAAGCAUAUUUUGAGAUACUUCAGUAAGGAUGUUUUGAACAUAUGGUUAUUAUCUAUCCAUUAAUGCCCAUGUUUGCAAUUAUGGAGUAGUCUAGCAUGUCACGUUUUUUCUUUACUUUUGCUACAAAAUAUUUCCUGGCAGAUUGUUUACAUGUUAUUUAAUUUUGCCAAGGUUUUUGUAGUUGAUCCUUGCAUGCUAUGAACUUGUUCUUGCCUUUGGUAGUUUCAUAAACAUGUCUUCUUACUGAUGCUAUGCUUAUCUUGUCAUGCAUUGACUUGUGUUGAGUGAGUCGAGCUCGUGAAGUAGUGUACUUGUUGUUACUGUUUUGCUAGGCUGAAUCUGUUAUUUCGUGAUGCUAUGUAAAUCUGCUGCUACAAGUCAUUAUAUGUAUAAUAUGGAGAUGUCCACUAAAGGUCUUUUGUUCUACAUGUUAUGCUCUAUUCAUCCAUGCCACUGGUUGCAAUUAUAGCCUGCUGUAGCUUGUUGUAAACUUGCUCCAAAGUUGUUAAAUAAUGUUGCUGUCAGCCUGUUAACAUUACGUUCAGUUGUUGCCAUGCUUGUUGUUAGUGAUCUAUGUACCCUAUGAACUUGCUCUUGCCAUUCUUAGCUUCAUAAACAUGCCUUAUUACUGUUGGUUGCCUUGCCAAGCCAUGUAUUGCUCUGUGGUGAGUGGUUCAAGCUCACCAAAAUGCCUACUUAUCGUUGUUCCUGCCAUGUAUGAAUCUGUCAUAUAACUUGCCAUGUUUGCAUGGGUGCCAUCAAAUCUUCUGAUCCUUUUUGGCUCAUGGUCAGUAAGGGACUUUUGUUCUAUGUAUUUAGUAGUAUCAUGCCAUGCCUUUGUUUGCCAUGAUAAGUUCCUUUAACAUGUUGUUUGAUAGCUCUAAACAUUGCAACCUGAUGUUAUUUCUGCGAAGUCUGAAACUAUUAUUAUUUGUUAUCUUGCCAUGUGUGUUUGAGCAUGUUCUAGUGAUUUUUGGAGAUAACUCAGUGUUCAUGUUUUGUUAUGCUUUACCCGUACGUCAUGUCCAUGCCUUUUGUUCUUAUGUUGAUAUAUUGUAGCAUAUUGUUUUGAUGCUUGCAAUAUGCCUAGUUGCUGUUUUGGACAAAUUGUUGCUAUAACUUGUAUAGUGUGUGUGUGUUGAACCGUUGCUCCGUUUUGAGUGUGCUCAAUAUGAAACUUGCUUGAUUUUGCAUGUAGCUUCAUAUUAUCAUGUUGCAUCCAUGUUUUGAUGUGUUUGCUUGAUCUUUGUAUGCAUUUUGCAUCAAUGUCAUGUUUAACUUGUUUUGCUCAUAUCUUCUAGGCCGUAGCCCCGAACUAAAUGAACUUUAUAUGUAACUUGACUAGAAUCUCAUGUAGAUCAUCUUGGUGCAUCCUAACUUGCUGUUUAACAAAUUGAACAUAAGGUCUAUUCAGAUCUGGUCCAAUUUCGAAACUUGCAUAUGAGGACUUACCGGAAUUGUUAUAUGUUGUUCCCGACCUCAUUUAAACUUGCCUUGAUGUGUUGCUCUUGUUUGCAUUAUCUCUUGCCAUGAGUAGCUUCAUGUAGUCUUGUCUUGCAUCAUGCUUGUUGUGCAUCAUGUCUUGCCUAUGUGUGGUGCGUUUACCGUGUUGUGCGCUUCUCUCGAUAGUUCCCGUUUCGUUGCGAUCGUGAGGAUUCGUUCGUCUACGCUUGGUUCGUCUUCGUGGCUUUAUAUUCUUCAUGGACUCGUUCUUCUUCCUUGCGGGAUUUCAGGCAAGAUGACCGCUACCCUGGAUCUCACUACUAUCAUUGCUAUGCUAGUUGCUUCGUUCUAUCGCUUUGCUGUGCUACCUAUCUUUUGCUCAUCAAGCCUCCCAAAUUGCCAUGAACCUCUAACCUUUGACACCCUUCCUAGAAAACCGUUUCUUGGCUAUGUUACCGCUUUGCUCAGCCCUCUUAUAGCGUUGCUAGUUGCAGGUGAAGUUGAAGAUUGCUCCAUGACGGACAGGAUUAUGUUGGGAUAUCACAGUAUCUCUUAUUUAAUUAAUGCAUCUAUAUACUUGGUAAAGGAUGGAAGGCUCGGCCUUAUGCCUGGUGUUUUGUUCCACUCUUGCCGCCCUAGUUUCCGUCAUACCGGUGUUAUGUUCCCGGAUUUUGCGUUCCUUACGCGGUUGGGUGAUUUAUGGGACCCCCUUGACAGUUCGCUUUGAAUAAAACUCCUCCAGCAAGGCCCAACAUUGGUUUUACCAUUUGCCUCACCACCACCUAUAUUUCCCUUGGGAGUAAUUAACCCAAGGGUCAUCUUUAUUUUAGCCCCCCCGGGCCAGUGCUUGUCUAAGUGUUGGUCCGAACUGAGCUGCCUGCGGGGCCACCUCGGGGCAACUUGAGGGUUGGUUUUACUCAUAGCUAGUCUCAUCCCGUGUUGCCCUGAGAACGAGAUAUGUGCAGCUCCUAUCGGGAUUUAUCGGCGCAUCGGGCGGCUUUGCUAGUCUUGUUUUACCAUUGUUGAAAUGUCUUGUAAACAGGGAUUCCGAGUUUGAUCGGGUCUUCCUGGGAGAAGGUAUAUCCUUCGUUGAUCGCGAGAGCUUAUCAUGGGCUAAGUUGGGACACCCCUGCAGGGUAUAAUCUUUCGAAAGCCGUGCCCACGGUUAUGGGCAGAUGGGAAUUUGUUAAUGUCCGCUUGUAGAUAACUUGACACUAGAUCCGAACUAAAACGUAUCAACCGCGUGUCUAGCCGUGAUGGUCUCUUCUCGGCGGAGUCGCCUAUGUUUCCCACGGUGAAGUAGCCAGCGACCUGCAACUUCUACCUCUCACCAGAUUUGUAAGUCACCAUGCAGCCCUUGAACCCUGGUUGCUUGACAGAAGGUUCAUCCAUCUAGAGAUGCCCUCGUGGCGGAGAUUGGCAACUAUGAUUGCCCUCUGAUCCCUCGGUCCCGCCUGUUAGGAACACCGGCUUGACGCCCAUAGUGAGCAGCUUGUAGUACAGCCGAUUUGUCUCCGGUAGCGCAGGCGCGCCCCCCUCCAGCACGUACGCGUUGUAGCUCGUCGCAUUGUUACGAGAAGCACAACUAUGUUACGAAAAGCAAUCAUGCAUGAAAAAAACAAUUGGAAGUACAGAGGCCCAUCCUUAGCGAAAAUGACCUACGGUUACAGGCCUGGGAAUGAGCUCAGCAAGCCUUCACUGUAAAAAAGAACUUGCUAACUUAUGAAGCUCUCAAUUGCUCCCACACUCUUGUUAGUUUCUGUUUGUUUAUAACUCGUGUUCUCUUUGGAUAUGGAUUUCGUUGUGUUUAGGUAUUUGCUGAUUUGUGUGCUUGGAGCGAUAUGGAUUUAUAUAUUCAUCAAUUCUUCUGGUGUUAAUUUGAGUUUUUGAUAAAAAAAUAUUUUUGACAUAAUUAAGUUUAUCAUGUUCGUCUUUGGGAAGAUAUAACCAUUUUCAAAAUCUCUGAAUAUAUUUUCAAAGCAUGUUAACGUUUUUCUACAAGCAGCUGAAUCCGUACCAAACAUUUUAUAUGAUUCUACAAAGUUGGGUUUUUGGUUUACAAGAAUAGGAAAACACAUGAUUCCUUAUAAUCAUGGUCCAAUCAAAGUCAAACCAUGUGAAAAGUAUGACUCAAAUGAUAAUAUGUUGCUAUGGACUCCAGUAUCUAUCUUUGUGCACAUGAAUUUAAAAAAGAAGUCGGGCCUAUUUAGUUCAAAGGAAUUACAUACAAAUUUUGGAGGAUUCAAUUUCUUAGGGAAUUUUCCUAUACGGGUCUACUUUGGAGUAUGACUCACAUGUUUUUUCAGGUUUGGAAAACAUAGAAAUCACUCCUAUGGUCUACUUUGUAUGCAAUUCCAGAGAAGAUUUCCAUUGAGUCCAACCUCAUGGAUGUUUUUCUUUGUUUCUAUGAAAUCUACGGAAUGUUCAGGAAUAUUUCCUUUAGUGUAAACCAAGCAUCUUCUGUUACAAAAUCAUGUGUGUUUGGAUACUUGUAGUAGCCAUUAUGGCAUGUUAUCCGAAUCUUUUCUAUUCAUGCGCUUUCAGAAUCUUGUGACCCAAAGAGCCCCAUGUGGAUUGUAAAAUGCUUGUGUUUUCCUGAUUGUCUUUCACUUUUCUUUCAAACCCCUUAUAUAUAUUGUCUGCACAAAGUUUUCUCCAAAAGCAGUAAGGUUUUGACUAUAGAUUUUAAUUUGUGCAAUUAAUUAAGUGUGUGUUCUUCUCCACGGAGAUCCAUGACAAACUAGAAGUAAAAAAAAAACUUCCGAGGAAUUUGGAUCCAUAUUUUAAUUUGUGAUUUUGAAAAUAAUUUAUUGCAUAGUAUUUUUGGUAACAUUAAGUUUUUGAAACCCAACAGACCAAAUCCCAGUGACUAAAUCAAAAAAAUAUGUACAAUUUUAGGGUUUGCUUGGUUCGCAAGAUUCUAAAAUGGAAAACAUAGCAAUGAAAUAUUAAUGUAGGUGCAAAACAGACAAUUGGAAAAGACACGAAUUCGGCAUAUUUGGGUGUUUGGUGUAGAAGAAUCAGAAAUAAUAAUAAUCCUAAUAACCACAAUCAAAUCAAAGUGAAAUAAUUACAUGAAAAAUGUACAAUUAGAAUGUUAUUGUGCCACUAAGGAUCUCAGUUUCCAUCUUCAUGCAUAGAAAUUUGAAAAAGAAGUCGAGCCUCUCUGGUUCAAAGGACUUCCAUACCAGUUAUUUCAUAAAAAAAGGAGUUCCAUACUAGCUUUCAAGGAUUCCAUUUCUUCGGGAUUUUCUCUACAAAGAUUAUUCGGUUUGUAGGAUUGCGAACAAUGAAUAAUUGUUCGGCUUCUAAGAUUGCGAACCACGGGAAUUACUCGUAAGGUCAAAUUUUGCAUACAAGUCGGGAGGAAUGUUUCCAUCUAGCCAAAUUUUUCAUUGUUUUUAUGGCAACUAUUUCAUGCAUCUAAUGCUAUGGGAAACUUCCUGCAUUUUUCCUGUCGUGCAACCAAACACCUUCUAUUACAGAUUCAUGUGUUUUUGACAACUAUAUAGGAUCAAUAUGGCAUGUUGUCCUGAUCCAUUCUUAUUCUGAGUCUGUAGAAUCCUGUGAACCGAAGAGACCCAAGUUGAUUGUCAGAUUCAUGUGUUCUCCUUCUUAAACUGUGGGAUCAAAUGUAGUUUCCCGCCGUCCCAUUUUGCUCCAAUCCUUUGAAAAACACAUGAGUGGUGUCGUUAUAAGAAAAUUUGUAUUCCUAUGAUUUUCGCCACCCCUGAAAUACAUUUUCCAUGCAAAGUUGUCCUCAAAAGUAAGGUUUUGAGAGACAUUCGAGUAAUUAAUCAAAUAGGUGUUCUUCUCCACGGAGAUCCAAGCCAAAAGCAGAAAAGAAAGUCUGCCAGGAAUCAUGCCCGGUCAAGAUAAGUACUAUCCCUGCAUGUCAAGUUUGUAACAUGCAUGGUGCAGAUCUCGAGAUGCAACUUGAGGCAUUCUACAUAGUAUAUGCACUCAUCGAUCCUCUCUGCACGCAUGUCAACUACUUGUAACAUGCACGACAUGCAACUUGAUGUAUCUUACGUAUAGUAAUCUCAGUACAUGAUCGCUAGCUAUAAGGCUGGCCAUAGUGGGAGUAACAUAAUUAGUAUCAUGCACUUGAGACUCGCAAACAUACUUAUGUGGCAGACAAUUAAAGAAGAAAGAGAUGGCAAUAGUAACAUAGAAUACUGUAACAUAAUUAAUGUUAUGCUACUAUGUGUUAUGCAUGGUAAUAAAUUAGACCAUCUAUAAUAGUACUUUAUGAUACUAUGCAUUAUGGAUGUAGUAUUAUACACUAGUAUCAUAUGCAUGAUACUAUUAUAUGUUACUUGCCACUAUGACCAGCCUAAGUAUGAUUUCUGGCCGUGCCCAUAAAUAACCGUGCCUUCUCCUGCUAGUUCACACUCGGCGUACAAUUAUACUCGGUGUACACGAGCACACUUCACAGUUCAUCCUGCUGUGUCUUCUUCUCUAAUGGCUUCAGCCGGCCUCGCUCUCAAGGCGGCCGCCGUGGCCGCCAUGCUCGCCAUGCUGGUCAUACCUUUGUCGGGCCGCUGUCUGUCGCUGGGGCCGGCACCGCCAGCACCGUCGCCGCCGGCACAGGCGCCACCGCCACCCGAAUCGAUACCACCGGUGCCAGCACCGGCGCCGGCACAGCGGGUAUCGUGCGGGGACUGUUACUCGGUCGGGAGCCAGGCGUGCUAUUCGUUGUGCAUAGCCCCCUCCUCCGAGACAUGCGGUUGCCUUUUGGUUCAAGGUCGCUGCGACAAGUGCAAGACCUCCGAGACCGACAUGUGCACGGCCAACUGCACCGACGGCCGCUGUGACUGCGGCGCCGCCGCCGACAAGGCAUGCGCCGACACUUGUUCCUACAAUGAUUGCAGCUGGUGCGUGCGCGGGCAACAGCAGGGUUGCCUGACCAGCUGCAGGAGCGAGUGCAUGAGCAAGUGCAAUGGGCCGUAGAUUAGCCUCUGCUAGCUGGCUGGCCGGCCGGCCGGGGCUAGGGCUAGGCAUGUAUUGCAUGGUCAACUAUGUAUGCUUGUGUAUCCAUGUAUGAGAUGCUAGCUUUAGUAUCUACUCCCUCCAGUUUCAUAAUGUAAGAUGUUUUUCGACAUUAAGAGCAUCUCCAACAGUCGCCCAAAAACUGGGCCGCGCGUUAAAAUCUGGGUUUUUUGGGCGCCGGACAGCUCCAGCAGAAGCUGUAAAACAGUGCGCGCGCACAAAAUAGUUGGACGCGCGCUGAAAAACGCUAUCAAAAGCUGCAAAUUUGAGGCAUCGGACUGUGCGCGCUUCACAAUUUAUAUUACGUGUUCUUUUGGGCGCGCGGUUUUGGGCAUAUGCUAAAGCGAUGUUGGGUCCGGCGCACUAAAAGUGCUACAGUGGUGCGCUAAAACUAUUUUAGGGCACGGGAUUUUUGUGCAUCUAUUGGAGAUGCUCUAAUGUAGUAUUAAAAAACUUCUUACAUGAUGGGAUGGAUGGUGUAAGGAAUACGUGCGGAAAUCGGAUAUCCAUUUCUGAGCUCGAGCUCAGAUGCUCCCUAAAUCAGACCCGUCCUCUAGCAUGUGGAUCUGUUCCCUUCCUUGUAUUUUUUUUCCGUAUAACACAUGUAUCAAUAUAGUAUAAGGCCGGCCAGGUGCAUUGAUUACGAUCAGCAACUUCUCUGCGCACGGCUCAACAUUUUUCCUGUGCCGAGCUGAUCCAUCUCCUCACAGGGUCGGCUCUAUGUUUUUCGGGGCCUUUGGCCAAGUUGAAAAAAGGGCCCUUAUAGGUAAUAUAUAUGUACGCAUAUCCGACCAUAUUUUAUUAUUCUGAGACAUAUAACAUAUAAAAAUUGAUAAUCGACCUCAAACAAUUCUUCAGUAGUUUCAAUUUAGAUCCUAAAGCUGCAAAAAAUUCAAUAGAUCAAUACAACUAGAAAGAUGAUGAAACUGAAAAGAUAAAUACAUUUACGCCAAGAAAGCAAUAAAAUCAACCGUAACAAGAAAAUCAAGACGGGAAUCACGGAAUCAAAGAUUAAAGGUCCACCUGAUUGCAGCAGCCGGCGGCCGGCCGGCCGGGCGUCCGUGCCAGUCUUCGAGAGACAGAGAGAGCAGCAGGCGGAGGCGGACGAGCCCCCGAGGCGACCAGGACCAGACGCAGAUGCCGAGAUGCGAUUCAAUCGAUCGAAUCGAUCAAUGUAGUAUGCCAGGCGUCUUGCCUUUUCCUCUCCCGUAGUUGGGCUGGGCCUGUACUGAUUCAUUUUUUUUCAGCCAAAUAGAUGUAUAGUCUUAUAUGUAUCUGAUGAUGGGCCCCCCAGACCGGGGCCCUUGGCCCAGGCCAAGGUGGCCUACCCCCAGAGCCGGCCCUGUCUCCUCACACGGACUCAUUAACUCCCCCACCCCACCCCGACCCAGUGCCUUAUAAUAUUUAUAUAUCCCCACCAUGCAAGUAGUAGUAACGAAGACGUGCCAACAACACGACUUGGGCAGAUGUCAGGUCCCCUAAGUACAAGGAACAGUUUUUUCAAAAACAGUGAAACACAGAUUUGUGGUGAGGAACAAUAACAUAUUUGUACUCACUCAUACAGGGUGUCCAACAUCAUAGAAAAAUGGAGGAACAAGCAGGGAGCAAUGCUCACUGAAACACACUAGAAAAUCCUCGGCAAACAAGAAUACAGAAUCCAAACUUACCAAUCACAACUAAAUUUUCAGCAAUACCGGUGUUCCGGGGGUGACAUUCUAUGCCAUGGUUCUCUUGCAUUUCCCCGGCUUGCAUGGUUUCUUGGGUGCAUCCCCUUGUUCAAGACAGGUUGUUCGCUUGUGGCCAUCAAUAGCAAAGCACUAGCAGGUAGCGCGCGGCGGCACGCCGCGCCAUAUGGGUUGAUGUACUAAUUAGUUCUUUUGUAAUAUUCGGUAAGUCGCCCCAAGACUUAUUCGUGAUAAAGUAGUUUAUAUAAGGUGAAGGGUACAUCUAGUUGAUACAUACAUAAGUGAUCUACAACAUGUAGUGAUAGUAAAUAAAUAACAUACAACAUGUAGUGAUAGUGGGUAUUGGAUGCAGAAUAUGAAGCUCUUGUUCUCUUCUUAGACCCGAGAAGAUCCUUGGGCUGUGUUUGUCCCUAUGAUGUAGUGGUAGUGAAAUUUAAAUCUGAAUCAAACCAUCGCUGCUGGUCCUAACAGGCAUAUCAUCACCAGACAAUCUAUACAAGUCGAUCCACCGAAGCAUGUCUCUUCCUCUUUGCUAGGUGAGUAAAUCUAAAGAAUAGCAAUACCUACAACAUUGUAGUGCAAUAGAAAUCAUGUUAAGAAGCAAUAUAUUCAUUCCAAAGCAGCAAACUGUACACUUGAAAUAUCAAUGAAGCACGCAUGCAUGUGCAAUACUUUUCGGUGAAAACAACUCAUGUAAUUAGAUGAAAAUAUCAAUGAAGCCCAUGGCGCCAACUUCAUUCAACAAAGUAGGAGUGUACAACAUGAAUUACAACUUCCUGAAUGUUAGAUGUAGACAGAGUGGAAAUAACAAGGCAAGUUGAGUGAGAAUGAGUUGAACUAAAACAACUAAAAACAGAGAAUGAGCUGAACUAAAACAACUAAAAAUAGGUCCUGUUGAUCUGGUCAGGAUCUGAUGAGCUACAUUGUUGGCUAUCCCAUUCACCCCCUGGAUAUAUUGAACACCUGCUAUUGUAACCAUUGAGUAUUGUUGUAGAGCUUUGCAAUGGGCUUCCUGAUUGUAAAUGGGCUCUCUUUCAGUAUUUAUCGUAACCAUCCAUCAAAUCAAAUUUGAUAAACAGAUGUAAAAAGUGUUGAAUUCUUCUCACAGUUCCUAAUUAUGUUAUAUUUGUCUUUCUGAUUCUCCUUAUAUACCUCUUUCCACCGCUUCAUGCCCUUUCCUCCCAUUUCUAUCCAAUUAAACACCAUAGUGCGAACUGCAGAAAAUAAUAAUCAUCAGCAAAGAUGAAAGGAGGUACUCAAUGGCACAACUGGGGAAAUUAAUAAUCAUCAUCAAGUGUUGAAGGAGCUAUUUUUUGGUCAAGCUUGUAACAUUCUUUCAGUUAUCUAGUCCAUUAUUCAGAACACAACCAUGCGGAAAAUGCCCAAAGUAAUCAUCCCAGAAUUAGCAGCAACAGAUGCAAACAUGCACUUAAGGAGAAGCUCCACCAAUACUUCAAUCAUGGAUCUUUACAUUUGACAAUAGCAUAUUAUCUCUACAAAAUUGUUACAUAAAUACAUCGUACAAGGACUAAUGUAUGGGAAAAGAAGGAAUCAAACUAAGUUGAAAAGAAAAACACAACAAAACCAUACAUCAUGUGGAAGCCCAAUCACUUUAGGCACGCAGAUCAGAUUCACUAAUAAUACAAUUAAUAAGAAAAAAAGUAACAAAUCAGUGAAAUAUCACCGCAUAUGUAUAAUUUUUAUUCAUAGAUUGAAAUUAUUCCUUAUGAUUAAUCCCUAUAUUUUAUAGUGAUAAGCCCGCAUAUAAAAAUUCUCAAUAUCUACCCAGACAUUUAUACAAAAAAAUUGAUGUUAAAUCUAUCGUACUGUGAGAAGAAGGAAAAUAUAAUGGGAAAGGCCAAAAAUACCUUCUCAAAAUUUAUGUGCUGAAAUUUUCCUUCUGCAACUCUAAUUUACUGAAUUUGGCCUUCUGCAACUCUUAGUAGUUCUGAAGAUGGCACAAAAUGAUAUCAAAGAUAAGCUAAACUCUCUACUAAUUUAGGAGAUCUUCUUUUUUCUAUGAAGAACUGAUUGUCCCCCAAAAUUAUGAAGCAUGUGUUGAUGCAUAUAGAACCUAAGGAACACUAUAAUGGAGCUGAAAUAUCCCGCAUUUUUUUAAUGAAGCUGAAAAACAGGCUAGAAAAUUUGAUCGAUCACAAAAUGAGAUUUGUGAUUUAAACGCUAGGUCUAAUACUUAGGUAACCAAUCUGCACUCAAGUAACAUGAGUAUAGACUACUGGUUCAACAUCCAAGUUUUUUUUGGUUUGGAGCUAUGAUGUAUUUGUUAGAGUUGUGUCGAAUAUUAUUGUACAAGGUAGGUUACAGUUGAACUUGGUUUUGGACUGUGUGUAGACAUGGUAGGAGUUGUGUCCUAUUAGGACACUUGUAUCAUAAGCCUCUCAUAUAUAGCGGGGGUAGACAGACGAUGUAACUUAUGUUAACAUAAUAGUACGGGCACGCAUGGGAGCCGGCGGUGUCUGCCGGCGCCCGGGCGGUCGGGGUGCGGUAUUGUGACGGUGUCACGGGGAGGAGCGCCCGUAGUCAGGCCCCGGGGAUGUAGCCAUAUCGGUGAAUCUCGUUAACAAAUCUCGGUGUCGUGCUUCGUGUGAUUGCUUGGUCCUCAGUAGAUCGACGGAGUGCCUCGGAUAAUUCUAACAAGUGGUAUCAUGAGAAAGGUUACGAGGAGGCCGUGGAAGUUGAUCUUGAGGAGAGGAGCGAAAAGAUUCGUCAAAUCGAUCGUGCAGAAGUCGGACAGUUGAAUCGGCGGCUGCGGAAGGUCGAUGGUGCGGCGUGGUUCUAUUCGGGUUCCUUGAAGUGAUCGAAGGCAUCAGGUUCGUGCAGCGUACUCAAAGGGCCGUCUCGGCGUGAUCGAUCAGAUCGCGUACAGGCGGCGGCAACGUAAGGCAGUCGUCCAGCGGCGGCGGCGCUCAGGAUCGUCGUUCGGAAUCGACAGCGGUACAAGGGCAGGCGAUAGAGCCAGGCAGGCAGCGAUUGUCAGGGGCCAUGCUCGAUGGCAGGCGGCCCAAGCAGUGCUCUAGAUGCUAGUGAUGGGCUGUGAACAGUUGUGGGCGGUGUUUAGCCAGGGCUGGCAGGCCAGGCCCAGGCGCUGGGCGGUUGGAGGCGUGCCGCGUGUGUGCGUGCGUCGCGCGUGGGAGCUGCCCAGGCGAGAUGAUGUGCCUUGCUGUGUUGCGGCUGUGCGUGGUGCGUAUAGAGCUGCAGACACGAGUUUUGUUGAAAAAAAAGGAAGUGUCUGGACUAGUGAUUGCAAGCGUUGGUUGGUGCCAGGCCCGUACCAGGCACAUGCGCAGCGUGUGCGCCUGCACAGGGCCCCAAAGUCAGCGGGGGCCCCAAAUCAGCAAGAGUAUUAGUUAAUUGCUGGGGUUAGUAGGAGGUAGGUGCCAUUACCAUGGACGGUUGAAUAAUCAAAGCAGGAACGUACCAGCCUCUCCUCACGCAUGGGAACAUGAGAACCUGCAUGAAGUAAUUAUCCAGCCUCUUCUCACCCAUGGCUCCUUUUUCCAUAGAAAAAAAUGAGGUUCUCACGCAUGGCUCUCUAUCUACUCUUCGGCUUCUUUAGACAGCAGGUACAAUACUCCUUCCUACUCCUCAUCAAUCUUCACUCCUUGAUCCUUAGUUUACUCCUAAAUCCUCAUCAACAUUAUUUCCUUGCUAAGGUUCCACUCUCAAUCCCCAUUUUUUUAUUUCUGUUCUAUUCUUAUCAGAUCUCAAAUCGGUAGGGUUGCAUAUCAGCGUUUCUCUCGACCACUUAGCUGCCUGUUGCCAGCCCUGCAACUUAUGUGCAUCAGCAUCAAUUGGAGCCUGACUGCAAUUGAAGGCUAAGGUAGCUUCAAUCCUUUUUAUCUGUAUAUGUCCAAUUUUAAACAUUUGAUGUUUGUCUCUUAGUUUUACCUUCUUCAGUAUCUUCAGAAGAAUUAGGAACUACGAGUCAUGAUGUCAAAAAAAGGAACAAUGAGUCAUGACAUGGAAAAGUUAAGAAAAGGAAAAAAUGCCCAGGGCCCACAAUUUGAUUUCGCUCCGGGCCUCCCUUUUCUCAGGUACGGCCCUGGUUGGUGCUAUUCAUCGUGAGCAAGGAGAGGGAGAGGCAAAGUCAAGCAUACAUGAAGACGUGGUGGAGUUUUGGAUCUCUAUGACCUCAUGCAUAUGAAAAGGCUGCUAGAUGGAUUUCCUCAUUGGUUCUCUUUGCUUGGUACACGUACAGAUCAUGUACGGGAUGACAGCGGUCGUAUGCUGCAAUUAAUAAAGACGCGGAGUCGUGGGUCCAGAUGGAGAUUGACUGGUUCGAUCAGCUACGUGUAAUCAAGUGUUGCAUCAGGAUACAGAUGGUAUUUUUACAUCAUAUGACCAUGAAGUUGGGGGAAAACAUAGAACUUUGGUAAUGGCAUUUGUGGGUGAAUAAUCUGCUGAAGCAACGAGAUGCUUGAUGGUGUAGCGGGAUGCCAAGUCAAUAAAGAUGGACCAUCUAUGGCAGAUGGCGGCGUGCGUAUAAGGCUUGGAGGAGUCUGGAGCAUGUCGUGGUAGGGAUCAUGCAAACACAUGGCGUCAAGCAAUGCACGGAGAUGUGCGGGCGGACACGAAGCAGAAGACGACAUUGAUUUCAGCGACGAUGACAUAGGAGCGUGAUGCUGAUGGUGGCCGACUUUUGGGGCGUGGAAACACGUGGUGCAGGUCUGAGGGCUUGUGCGGCUUCGACAAGACUAUGGCGCAGGGUUGAUUCAAGGCAGUGCACACAUGAGAGUUUGAAAUCGAUGGAGCGCGGGGGUAGCAUAGCGCAGCUACAUGGAGUCAUGUUGAAGGUGGAGCUGGAGUCUGAUGGAUGACUAUGCUCUGUGCUGAUGGAGGGGCUACGGUGUAGAUAUCGGAGAAUCGAAGCCUAUUUCAGUGGGAUAGCGAGAGACACGUGGAUCGGACUGGGUACCAGUGGUCUGAUGGAGACGUGAUACUCGGCAUCGGUCGGUGAUGAUCAAUGGUUCUCUGCAGUGGGGGUUGAGGCAGUGGGGGCUAGCUACCCGGGAGACUCGACCAGGACAGCAGAGGCUCGACGCGGUGAUAGCGGCUAGGUGUGCGGUAAACACGAGACACAUCGACAGACCAAGGCAUUGGUGGUCAGACAUGUGGUUAGACAAAGUGUGCAAGGGUGCUGAAGCAGUGUUGACGAGUACCAGAUUCAAGUUGGUGACUGGGUCUAUCAGUGCUAGUUGAUGGACAGGAGUUGACCAUGGAGAAUCUGAGAAAGUGGCGGAAAGUCUGAAAUUGUCAAAGGCUGAAAGAGUACAUGGCCGUAUAUUCUGUGGUGUUCAGUGCACAUGACAAAGUGCGAAUGAAAAAUACAGAAGGAGGUGGAGUGCUACAGCAGUGGGACAUGCCAAAGACUAUCCAGAAGAAGGGUGAAACAACUGCGAAUUUGACUCAGGGUGACACAGGGCGACGGUGAAAUUCCUUCAAGUUUCAGACAAGCAAUCAAGGAAGAGCGGUGACGUUGAGUUCAGGUAACUCUUAUAUGUGGCGUCCAAUAUGUGAGUUGUUCAUUUUCAUGCAGACAGUGGUCGGUGUGUGAUGGCAUUGAACGGAUUCUCCAGAAGUUGGAAGCACAAGGUAGAGUAAUGAGGAACUUAAUUUUGCUCGACUGUUGAUUAUGAAGAAGACGAGAAGGGACUACAGUUGCAGGUGGAGUCACAUGAAGUUUAGGAGUAGCAGCGGUGCUCAUGACAUAUCUCAAGUCCAAUGUACAUGAAGGUUCGACACACGGACCAAUUCAAGGUGGUGGAGAAUAUUCGCCAAGGUGGAAUUUAUUAGAGUUGUGUCGAAUAUUAUUGUACAAGGUUGGUUACAGUUGGACUUGGUUUUGAACUGUGUGUAGACAUGGUAGGAGUUGUGUCCUAAUAGGACACUUGUAUCCUAAGCCUCUCAUAUAUAUAGCGGGGGUAGACACACGAUGUAACAUAUGCCAACAUAAUAGUACGGGCACGCAGGGGAGGCGGCGGCGUGUGCCGGCGCCCAGGUGGCCGGGGUGCGGUAUUGUGAUGGUGUCACGGGGAGGAGCGCCCGUAGUCAGGCUCCGGGGAUGUAGCCAUAUCGGUGAAGCUCGUUAACAAAUCUCGGUAUCGUGCCUCGUGUAAUUGCUUGGCCCUCAGUAGAUCGAGGGAGUGCCUCGGAUAAUUCUAACAGUAUUGAACAAGAUGGUGCUUUCUUCAGCAAAGGAGUACAAAACCAAGCAUCGGCGAGGGGAGAGAGGAGUGAAGCUGUCCAGUAACCUAGUCCAGCGUAGUGGCUGCUCCAUCCUUCCGGUUAGAACUUGCAAGAAGUAUUGAAAAAUUGACCUAACUUCAAAAUAAACACUCGUACCAAAAACAGCGGGUAGUCGGCAGCGUCGAUGGCUACCUAGCUCUUAGAUAUGGGCAUUUCAAAAAUAAAAGACACGGUGUGUCUUACUUUAGCGGAUCCCCGAUGGGUCCUUGCUGAUGUCCCCGAGCUGGUUCUUCAGGUGUUCGGCUGCGUGCCGUGGCAGAGGGUGGGCAGGGUGGGAGACACCAAGCCUGAAGUUUCCACCGACGCACUGUCUAGCACGAUCUGCAGUCGCUCUCUCAAAAACGCACGAUGCAGGAAGCCGAGAUGCCGUCGUUGCCGUUGGUGUCGCUGGAACAAAUCCACAGGAGCAAGAUCAUUAUGAAAAAAUUCACUAACCUUGGGCUGAACAUGCCUAUCAAUAGCGCAGCCUAACAAAUCUAAUGGAAAAGAAAAAAAAUCAAAAAAACUGAGGAAAAAAAAGAAAGCCAAGCCCAAUAACUGAAAAUCUGAUGAACCACACAUAGAUAGAUACACACACCAGAAGAUGGAUCAAGAGGACGCUUCCCCGGAGAAUUUCCUGCCGCCGCCGGCGUGCUUCAUUAGGAUCUGGAGCUAAUACGAAGACCGGAACUUGGGAGAAGCCCCUGCAGGUCACGGCGGCGGAUGGCAACCACGCUGCUGCCCCUCAUGUAACGCCACUGCCCUCGCAGUUGCUCCCGCCGAUCUGCACAACAGCAGCGCAACAUCAACCAUGGAGGAGAAGUAAGAUGGAAAGGGGAAGGGGAGAGGGAGGAGGAAGAGCAAGAGAUACCUGAGUAAGAGGACGCCGUGCCGCGCGCCGCGCGCCGCCGCCGUAUGCUCGUCAUGCUGCUGCUUUUGCGAGAGAUGGGGGGUAUUUAUUCUCCCAUGAAAGCAGUGUGGAUGGUUCGUGAGAGGCCUCGGUGCAAUCUAACUUAUAAAGGAUGAAGGGGUAGGUAGUCACAACGAAGGUGGCCACGUCGCCUUUAAAUCGCCCUGAACAGUACUCGUGCCACCGCCUGUAAAUUCCGUGCCCCGCCAUGGGCAUUUUAGUCAUUUCACGCGCAGGCAUAUAAAAGGCAGCCUCCCCCGUGGAGAAGACCUAGCCGCCGCCACCGUCCCACUCGCCCCCCCUACUCGUCGCCUCCUCUCUCUCUCUCGCUAACCCCUCACUCUCCCCAUCGCGCCGGCUGGUUCCGGCCAGCUCCGGCCCGCGCGUCUCCCCCGCGAUCCCCGCCUCCUCUCCUGCCGCCGCCGCCGGAGAAGCUCGCCGCCGAUGCCGGUGACCUAGCCCGCGCGUCUCCCCCGCGACCCCUGCCUCCACUCCUGCCGCCGCCGCCGGAGAAGCUCGCCUCCGCUCCCACAAGCCUCGGAUUCGGCAGGAUCCGGGACGAGGAGGGGUGGAUGAGACGGGGGAGGAGGAGGAGGGGAGUGUGGGGGCGUCUGGGGAGGAAUAUCCCUGCCGCCUCAUCCACUCCUGCCUCCGCAAGCCGUCGGCUCCUCUCCUCUCCCCGUCGGCACCAGCGUGCUGGUCGCGGGGUGUGAGGAGAGCGAGGAGAGGGAGGGGGAAGAUGCAUGAGGAGGAGGAGGAGGACCAGGCGGUGGCGCGCCCGCCGGAUCCGAGGCGCGUGGGAGGGCAGCAGUGGCGCGUUGACCAGAUCGAGAGCGACCCCGAUGGAGGGGAAGGGACCGGUAGGCGCGUGCAGGCUGCACAAGCUUGGGGGAUUGGGGAGAUGGCGGCCAACCGAGUUUCUUCGAUUGAUCUGGACAUGGCCAUGGCAGCGCACGCAAGGGGCGGAGGCGAGCGACCCUCUGGAGCCACGCACGUCGAGAGGUAGGAGCCGUGUGACCCUCCUCUCCCCUUCGCUUGUCUCCUCCUCCCCUUCCCUUCUCACUCCUCCUCUCCGAUCUAGGCUGCACAUCUGCGUCCGCGACGUAUUUCUCUCUCAAUUUUUACUGCUUGAUUCUCUGGUUUUCUGACAAUCUUUACAUGAUUGCAGACCUGAGUGCGUCAUGUGCACCAGCAAGGUGUGCUUCCAUUUGGCAAGGUGAUACAUGCCUCUGCCCUUUCUCUCUCACAAUAACCAAUAUUUCUAAUAUUUUUGUGUGAUGAUUCUUCUGUGAGAUGGAUCUUUCUAAUAUUUCUGUUUGAUGAAAGUUGUAAUCAAUUGUCUAUAUUCUUGGCACUUUAUUAUGUGAUAUCUGUUUGGGGACCUUACUAAUAUGUGCUAGCUUUCUACUGAUUGAAGGGAGGAGCUCGAGCCGCAACGGUGGUCCACGGCGCCAUGGCCAUCCUCCUUGGCAGGAGGAGCAUGCGCCGCAGAGACGGCCGGAUCUGUCCAGCCCUCGCGCUGCUGUCCGUCCACCCUAGGGCGACCUGCUGAUUCCCGGAGCUCAUCACGCAUGGUACCUUUUAGUCCUGUUGAUUCCCUCCUCAUGUGGCCUGAUUCAUUACUACUGUGCAAUAUGGAUCUCACCUUUUGUUGGUAUUGGCUGUAGAUGCAGAAAACGGAAGCCUCAUGAAGCCUGAUGCAUUACUACUCUGUGCAACAUGCAUCUCACCUUUUGUUGGUACUGGCUGUAGAUGCAGAAAACGGAACAUCUGCCUCCUUUUUUGGUGCGGAGAUGAGCCCCUAUGGUAAAUGAAUCUACGGUAGAUCCACUUAAUUUAAUUCAUUUUUGUUGCCUUUAGCCAUUUAUGCGGUUCUAAAAGUGACUUCACAUGUGUUCAUUAUCUAUUGGUGCAGGUAUGCAAGUACAGGUCAUUUUAUAAGAAGGGGAUGCAUUAUUUUCUGGUUUGUGAUUCUCCGUACAGAACAGAGAAGUUUCUCCAAUUUAUUUCUUCCCUCGGAUUGGACUGAUACCAGUACCAACUGUGACUUGGCAUUUUUGAGUCAUCUUGAUACUUUCAUAGUAAUCUAACAAUGUCUUUGUAGUGGUUUACCUUUUUUUUUGCAGAGAUCAUCUAUUAUUGUUGUAAAAAAAUAACACUAAUGUAUAUCAUUAGAAUUUUGCAAGAGUAAAUAUAUAAGAUGCACAUCUUGUUUAUACAGUAUCCUCACUGAAAUCAUUCAGUUGGAGCAUGUGAAUAGAAAUAAAUGCCUAAAAUUUCGAUGAUCGUGGUUGGUCGCUUGCCACAGAUCAGCAGUGAGAUAUACAAUAUGGUCAGUUUAGUUUUGCUAGGCCAUGGUUAGUUAAUCAUGUAUUGCCAGGAUUUUCCUUCGCGUCUAUUCCUUAUGGGUUGUUCUAGAGGCAAUUUGGAUUUCUCUUAGAUACAUCCAUGAGUAAGUAAUAUUUAGUAGUUAUCUUGACCUAUUAAUCCCAUUUGAUUGCGUUGCGGUAACAAGGAAGAAGGGUCGGUUUAUUUUCCACUGAGAAUAUAGGAUCAGCUAGGACUAAAAGGUCGGGUCCCCUCCUAUUCUUUGCAUUCAUUCAUUUGUCUAUUUGCUUGGAAUGCUUCUACAAAAGGACUAAGUUAUGACUGCUCACUGUCACUAUGUCAGAUACCAUUUUAUUUAUCUCAUUAAGUUGUAUUGAUUGGCAAAAACACCUCGCAAAUGCCAAAAAAUAAGCAACUCCUCUUGAUCAGCUCAAGAGGACCUCCGGUGGCUUCAUGGUAUUUCUUAAUGUAUCUAUAUACCAGCCGAACGGGCAAAUACUCAAGUGACUGAAUGUGGUGACUAUAAAAGUCAGAACCGGGUACUUUUAUCUCUUGUGGAGAAUAUAAAUAUUUUUGUGGGUGCUCUUGUGUACAUAUAAAAAAUUGAAGGUGGUCAUGAUUCAGCUGACUAGGUUUUUUUCUAUGUGAAGGAAAGAAAAAAGUUGGUACCUAAUAGAACCAAAGUAAUUGAUCCUCUUCUGUACAUUUGUAGAAAUAAAACAGAAUAGCUUGCAAAGUAGUUUUGAUAUCAUUUUUGGAAAUAGCAUACAGGUAGUCAUGGCAGGUUUUCUAUGAUCCAAAUAAGAGUACACAUGCCUUUAUUUUAACAUACAGAUUAAAUGUUGACAAGUACAUUUUGAUUGCUUAGUCAGUGUAUUGUCCGUUCAAAAAAAAGUCAAUGUAUUGAUAAUAGUUUGGCUUCCUUGGUAGUGUAGAUUCAAGGAAAUUUAUAAAAUUCAUCCAUUCUUUCUUCACUUUUUUGUAUUUAUAUAUGUUCUGUACUGUUGAGUUAACUCAGUUGCAGCUAUAAAAAGUCAAUGUAUUGAUAAUAGUUUGGCUUCCUUGGUAGUGUAGAUUCAGCUAACAGUUUUGGUUCCUACUAUUAAAACAUAUACUGCUUUUUAAGAGAAACAUACCUAAUGUUUUAUUUGAUUAACCCUGUAUGUAUAGCAAAUUUCUUCUAAUUUGUUUUUCUUAAGUGCUGAAGACUUCCAUAAGGACGCAACUACAAAUAGUUCUUAUCUUCAGAGGGUAGCCUUAGUCUCUCUACCUUUUCUUUUUUGGUGUUGAUAAUUGGAUUAAAUAUGUUAGAUAGCUGCUGAGUAUUUUGAUUUGUUCUUAGGAAAAUCGUUUACGCCAAGAGAUAGAAGACCUGGAGAAGGACACUGGGUAUAAGUUGAGAGUUCUCGCACAAAAUCAUCCGGACACACCGUAAAAUGGAUAGAUGACCCGUUUGCGCCUCAAGAAGUCAUAGGCAGGACCAAAUGUAUGAUGGAGCGCACGACCAAAACCUAUCCACAUAAAAUUCAUGCAUUCUUUCUUCACUUUUUUGUAUUUAUAUGUUCUGUACUGUUGAGUUAACUCAGUUGCAGCUAUAACAAGUGAGCUCUAUAUUCAAUUCAGCUAACAGUUUUUGUUCCUACUAUUAAAACAUAUAUUGCUUUUUAAGAGAAACAUACCUAAUGUUUUAUUUGAUUAACCCUGUAUGUAUAGCAAAUUUAUUCUAAUUUGUUUUUCUUAAGUGUUGAAGACUUCCAUAAGGGCGCAACUACAGAAUCAUCCGGACACACCGUAAAAUGGAUAGAUGACCCGUUUGCGCCUCAAGAAGUCAUAGGCAGGACCAAAUGUAUGAUGGAGCGCACAACCAAAAUCUAUCCAUUUUGGUCGUGCGCUCCAUCAUACAUUUGUGCCUCUAAACUUAGUUUGUUGACUAAAUUGUGUGGUUCCCUUUUGCCGUUCUCUACUCUUUUUGCCGUUUUAACCGUAAAAUAUGAUAUAUGAUAUAAUGGUUAUUUGUACAUCGAGCAGGUGAUGUAAUUACUUUCAAUAGUGCUUCAGCUCUGCAAUCGACAGUUUGACCUCAUGCUAGGGCAGCCUCAGCCAGCUGUCUCUUCUAUCAAAGGUAAAGAACAAAAGCCUUUUUAUUGAUAUUGUUGUAUGGAAAGUUUACUGGAAAUUAUGAUUCUAAGUGGGUGUGAAUAACAUGCUUUGUCUUGAAGUAAUGACAUAUGGAGAAACUAUAGUUCCCAUACUAAACUUGGUAUUUUGAUUCACACAAAGUUUCCGUCUACUGAUGAUUAAACCCAUACUUGCCAUAUGAAUAAAGUGACAUCAAAAGGAAACUGAACAACAGAGAGAAUUAAGGAUGCCUUAUAAGCAUGUUUUCACUUAAGAUAGACUAGAAUGACUUCGCAAAUAUUUCUGUCAAUAUAGAUUGUCAAGUAGCAGUAGCUUAUACAGAUAGCUGCAGUUGUUGGCUGCACAUUACAACUUCAUGUUAUUCCGCUCUCACCAUAAUAAUCAUUUUUUUGUUCCAUAUAAAGUGGCAGUAGGUUCUUUUGUUGCCAAUGAUUAAUUAUCUGAUCCCUUGAGGCAUUAAUAUCAUGCUAGCUCUGUAUAUUGCUGGUGGUCUUCCCACUGUAAUUCAUUGUCACCAUGCUGCUAAUUUUGAGUUUUGCUUGUCUUGUACUCACAUGUAAUUCCUUUGUUCCAUCUUUGUUUUGUUAUGUGCCAGUGCUGAUGGAAGACAUCCUGAGUCCUUAUUGCAUGCUAGAGAACAACAACUAUCUUGUUGGUGAUUCCCCUGAUAUUUGGUUCUACAAGUGUGGCAUAUGGACCAAUGAAAGCAAAGAUAUUCUGAAUGUAAUAGCUAUAUGGGUUGUGCCAAAUGGUUUAACAGUGGAAGCGUCACGCUUAAGUACCUGUGGAAGUGUACUAUGCAAGCAUUAUCAGACAAUGCAAUGACACCCUGUUUGUACAUUCACACCCUUUGAAUGCCGCAAUCAGACUAAGAAGAUGCCUAAAUGAGCUGUGAGGCUGCCUCCAUAUAAGUGUUUCUGUAAACCGAUCUAUGUCAUUCUACUACAUGUACUGCUAUCAGCAAAGUUUGAUAAAUUGUAUCUGUCGUCAUAUCCACACUAAGGGCCUGUUCGGAGACUUGCUAGCUUCUCAAAAGCUUCUCAUAUCCAGCUUCUAGCCUCACUUCUCACUUCACGUGGAGUGAAGCAAAGUGUUCUGGAGCGAGGCAGCUUCUCCCCAGCACCUGGGUGAGCUGGCAGCCCAACGGGGGCGGUGAAGCCCAGCUUCUUGCCACCUUGGGCCGGCUGGAAGCAGUCCAUUUCGGGCUAAACUGCAAACAGGCCAAAAAAAGAGAGAAACGAGCUGGGCGUGGUCGUCCUGGUGCCGCUCCUAGCUUGGGAGAGUCGCUCGGGUGUCAAUGGCGUCGGGGUGUAGCUCCUCUGAGACAUGGGGGCGCAGCUCCUUGCAGCAGGCGCGUCGGACAGCGGCGAAGAUGGGAUCCGGCGGGAAAUAGACCGGGGCGGCCGGAUCUGUAGUCACAGGGGGCGAUUUGGCCGGCGACGGGGGCUGCCGAGCGUGGUGGCCGGAACGGCGGCGCUAGGGUUGCAGAGGAGAACGAGGGGAAGGGAGUUGUGAGCGAGGGGUUUCCUGCGGGAUCGAGCGAGUUGGAGGUGAGGAGCGAACCGUUUUUCUUGGCGGUGGCAAUCCGGCCGUAAAUAACUGCAGCUUCCGAUUCACAAAUACGUGAAGCGGGGAAUCGGUCGCUUCAAAAAAAUGGACUGCAGCCCAUCGUGGCUUCCUGGAGUGCAGCUUCGAGAAGCUAUUCCGUUCGGCCAGGCUUCGGUCAGAAUUUUUCAGAAGUUUAGAGUGGGAGGAGAUCAGAACAGGCCCUAACUUACUCGCUUUUCUGAACAUUGUAUUUUUUUUCACUUGAAAACCGAUCUAAGUUAGUCUACUAUCUGUAAUACAAUUCACAUUGCAUUGUCAUCUACUCCCUCUGUUCUCAAAUGUAAGUCUUUUUAGAGAUUCCAAGAAGGGAUUGCAUACAGAGCAACAUGAGUGAAUCUUCACUCUAAAAUAUGUCUAUAAAUUUGUAUGUUGUAGUCCAUUUGAAAUCUCUAAAAAAAAUUAUAUUUAGGAAUGGAGAGAGUACAUCUCCUACUUACUCACUACUAACAUUCUUUCUAAUUCGCUUCUUGCGCCAUUGGCGCAACCGGGUCAUCUAGUAAAAAAAUAAAAACGAAUUGGGAACUAAAUCGGCAUAAGUAAAGCGGCGACCGACAUAAGUAAACGAAACGUGCAAAAUGCCUAAAAAAAGAGCACGUCCAGUGUAAGAACUCCCCAUCACACGCGUCGUGUUAAUAAAGACGGUAAAAAAAUCCAAAAAACCCAGAAAAAUGAAACCCUUACGGGCCUAGUAUUCUUAGUAUAUAGAGCAGCUAACAUGUGCUCGAAUGGUUCUGCACUUGCAUCUCCUAUCCUGACGACUUCCAUAGCUUUCAUGUAUGGUGUUGAAUGCUUGCAAAUGAAAACAUGUUAACUGAGUGGCCCUUCUGGUAUUGAGUCAGGUGCUGGGGCAGAAUGUCUCUCGCGUCCUUGGUCCACAGCUUCAAAAGAAUCUCCUUCAAAUGAAGUACAGCAAUGACCUGCAUCAGGGGCAGUUCGGUUAUCAGUAAUAUAUCGUCUCAAGAUGCAAGUCUUCGCUGAACACCGGUGCAAUAUGAAGUGAAAUUCAGACUGUAGAAUAUCAAGAAGUCCAAUGCUUUCAUUUGGCACAGGAAAGGUUUGAGAACAAAUAUUCGGAGAAGUCUACAAUCAAAAGAGGAGAAAAUUGCUGAUUAACCCUUACCUUUUUUACCUCCCAUGUGAAAAGAGGGGGUAAGAGGGAGCAUCUUAAAAUUGCUCAUCCCAUGAAUUUCUCGGAAAAAAAGAAAAAGAAAACCAGCAGUGGAUCCAUUGAUUGAGCAACAUGUAGUUAGUCCUCCCAUACGUCUUAUUGAUAGUAGCAAUUGAUCCCAACUGAGGAAACUAACCAAGCAACAACAACAGACCACGACCAAUCGAUGGUUGCAGGCCUAGCCGAUGUAGUACAUGGGGUCGGGCAGCUUUAAGGUGUGCGCGCUCUCGGGCGCACCGAGGAUGUCGCUCCACUGGUCGACUAUGUUUCCCACGGUGCAGUAGCCAGCGUCCUGCAACUUCUGCCUCUCACCAGAUUUGUAAGUCACCGUGGAGCCCUUGAACCCUGGUUGCUUGACAACAAGUUCAUCCAUCUAGAGAUGCCCUCGCGGCGGAGAUUCGCAACUGUGAUGACCCUCUGAUCCCUCGGUCCCGCCUGUUAGGAACACCGGCUUGACGCCCACUGCGAGCAGCUUGUAGUACAGGCGCGCCCCCCUCCAGCACGUACGCGUUGUAGCUCGUGGCAUUGUUACGAGAAGCAAAACUAUGUUUCUUGAAAAGGGAAAAAUAAUCUAGGCUUCAAGAUUAGCUUUCGCUAGAACCACAGUUGUGCUUCUCUGAGAAAACUGUGCUUUCACAAGUACAAAUUUGCUUCUCAUAGAAGCACAUAUUUUUCCCGAAAGAGAGGAAGCACAAUUCAUGGGCGCGUCGGUCCUGGUCACUAAUGGAGUAGAUGGACUUUAUCAGAAGAGAGGAGUGCAGCUGCUGCAAUUUUCCGUGCAGAAGAGGGACAGUUCAUGGCAGCAUCGGUGCUAGUCACUAAUGAGCAGUGGUACCGGCUGCGGUUGAAGCUAUAGCUUGCAGUGAGGUGAUUUGCUUGGCAAAAGAUUUAGGAUUGAGUUCAAUGACAAUCGCUUCGGACUAUGCUGGUGUUGUCCAAAGUAUUCUUGAAAGGUCUCUAGAUGAAAAUGCUACGAUCAUUAGAGAGAUCAGAGAUUUGAAACUGUCUUUAAACAAAGUUAUUUUCAAGUUCAAGGGUAGAGAAUCUAAUGGUGAUGCCAGUGUUGCUAGAUUUUCACUUGACUUAGCUCGGGGUCGACAUGUUUGCUUUCUGGAGUCUCCGGGCUUUGUAAAACAUUUUGUUACUAUUUGAUUAACUAGGAAAUAUGCUCGCGUGUUGCAACGGAAAAAUAAAUAUUCAUAUAUCUGCUUGUGAAAAAAAAGUGUAAAUCAUCAAUCAAAUCUUUGAGGUUGCCUCACAACACGAGAAUCUAUCUUAGCCACAAGUUCAGCAAUGCAAUCACUAACACUGGUGCAGAUAAUUCAAUCAUGAUCAUAAACUAGUAUGAUCAUAUGAACUGCAUUGUAAAAUCACUGUGCAUUCAGCAUUAGUAGGCGGACCAUAUAUGAGAAAAUGAGUACUGAGUGGAUUUCAGUCGAAACAGAUUAGCUCAGCCAGAUAGUGCUACACAAUACGAGGCUCCGGCUCAGCUCCGGCUUUUUUGCUCAAUUGAUUUGCAAGGCUGAGGAUAGAAGGCAUCAGCGAGGAGCAUGCAAAAUUACCAUACAAGAUCCAUGCAUGCAGAUCGUUGGCAAAGAAAAUCCUGAACAAGAAUUAACUAGCAGCAGUAAGAUUAGACAGAUAUCAACCCAGAAAUCCAGUAUGCACCAAACCAGCAGCAACAAGGCUUAAAACUUCAAAUUACCAUGCUGUUCAUAAUCUUGAGUGACAAGCAAUCGACAACUAAAGUUCCAGAAUACUGCAUACGCAGAAGGCACAUUAAGAUAAAACAAGGGCAUCAGGAUUUCAAUCUUCAAAGUAUCAGCAUAUUGCUUGAGUCAUCAUGCAUCAGCAUCGCCAAAAGACCACCAUCUCACCAAGUCUCUAAGUAAUCCUACAAAAGGAAGAUAAACAAGUGCCCAUCAUUCAUCAGUAUAGUGCAUUGGAAAUCUAAGCCAAGUCUACCAUCUGAUCCUAAAAUGUUUAAAUAUGAGGCUAUUUUAAAAGCUAGGAAUAGCAGGCUUUCAUGCAUCCGAAAGGUACCAUCCAAAUGUUAGCAGUGUCGAAAAAGUAAAGCAACAAAAAUAUCAUCUCAGAAGCAUUCUAGAAAGUUUGGAGAUGCAAGGUUAUGGAAAACGGAAUCAACAUUUACUAUCCUAACAAAGGUGCAGGUCCAUGUCCAGUUAUGCAAACCAUCCACAUUCUGAAUUUAUAUAUAACCUUCGGUCCACAUUGUUACCUAUUAUGCUUUGGCAACAGAUGCAGGCUCUGUUGGGCCACCCCCGGCCUUCACAUCACUUCCUUCAGGUCCUGGAGUAGACAAAGCUUCAUCUUUUGAACAGGGACCCUAAAGAAUUUACAGCUGAUGUAAGUAUUGUGACCAACCCAAAACAACUAUUGUGUUUGAACUCCGAAUUAAGAUCCGUCGAUGUUGGCUCAAUCGACAUAUACUGCGGUAAGCAGUAAACAAAAUGUUGAGCCCAACAUCAAGAACAUGGUUAUAACAACAGUAACACUAAAGAGUGGAAAAGUCUCCAUUUUUGAACAAAGCAGUUACAGAGCCUACAGAAUAUCAUUUACAUAUAUGUGUAUAAUCUUUCACCAAUGGAUUCCUUGACAUGACUAAUUUUGAAUUUCUGCUCUAGGGGACUCAAGUGCUUCUUAUAUCAAACACAGAAUAACAAACCAUAGUGCCAUAAGGAUAUGAUAUAUCAUAUUCAUAUGUGCACACUAUCAUAAUAGAACUGUCCAUCUCAGAAAUAGCACCAUCAAAGGGUAUUAGACAUUAUGACCCGAGUAUUUCGAGUGAACUAGAAUUGCAAAAUGGAGUCAUAUACAGUAAAAUGGAUAGCAGAUUCCCACAUAAUCCAUUAAUUCAAUGCUCUCAGGUAAAUAAAACUUGCAUCGAAUCCAGUGGAAAGAAACUGUAUAUGCAUGGGCUCACCUUAUCAUUUUGUACCAAAGAAGGAGGCCACGCCAUGAUGUAGGGACGGACAGGCUUGUGAUAAUCUUCACAGAUCAAUUUCAGCUCCGCUGUUUCGAGACAAAAGGAUAGCAACAACUGAGGAGCCUCGGUACACCCGUCAUACUCAGUACGCAGGUACACGAUUCCAUCGAUAACAUCCAUAAGCCGCACAAUGAUAAAUUCAUCAUCUCCUUCUGAGAACUUAACGAACUGGCGAAUCGUUUUCAGGGGUAAUGUGUGGUCCAGCAUCCAGUAAUUGCGACCGUCGUCAUAAUACUCGUGCUCGCGUCUCCAAAAGAAAACAUCAAGCGAGCAAAAAUCUGGAUAAACGAUACAGGGCCUCCCAUCCUUGGUAUUGCCAAACACAAAAGCACACUCACGGCCUUCCUGAUCCGCCAAGAGCGGCGACAGAUCCAUUUUGGUGAACUUCAGCGUCGCGGUGUCGAGCACGGUGAUGUAGGGUUCCCUCACGUGCGUCCAAUAGACAGACCCAUUCACCAUCUUGCCGGUGACCCCGCUCCCGGUGCCAGGGAACUUGCGGCACUUGGACUUGAUGCUGCUGUCCGGCGAGAUGAUGUGGACGACCGCCUUGGCCUGAAAGAACUCAAAGAAGUCGAAAGCGAAACACACCACGCGGGGUGGCACGCCGGGGUCCUCUUGGGAGGAGAUAAUGUGGAACUCGAAGUUAGUGGCGUCGGAGAAAAGGCGGGGCGGCGGGGGAUAGAGAUGCAGCGCCCGGGUGAGAGGGUUGUAGGCAGCUAUCUGCUUGGCCCUCCGGUUGAAGACAACCACGUAGCCGUCGCAGCACCGCUCAAUCUCCCACACGGGCGAGGCCUCCUCCUCCUCGUCGUCUUCUUCUUCUUCCUCGUACUCCUCCUCCUCCUCAUCGCCGUCUUCGCUGCCGUCGGCGUCUGGGAGUGGGAGGGCGGUGAGGGAGAAAUCGCCGCCGCGGGCAGCGGCCUCGAAGUCGAGGUCAGGGCGGGUGUGGUGGGGGUCGAAAGAGGAGGGCUCGGGCUUGAAGCCUCUGCGCUGGACGAAGAGGCCGACGAAGGGAGACGGGUGGAGAGCCCGGAAGCUGCGGCGGAAGGCCGGGGAGGAACGGACCGCGGAGAGGAAGGUGCGGCAGGAGAGGGCGGCCCGGACGAGGCUAGGGAGGCCGGGGAGGCGGAGGAACACCUCGCGGAGAAGGUCAUCGUCGAGAUCGAGCACGGUGGUCGGGCAUUUCGCCGGCGGCGGCGGCGGCGGCGCCAUCGCUCGCGACCUAGGUUUUUUUCUGAGGGAGAGCUCGAGCCCUGGCCCCUGGGUAGUGUAGUGGGGAGAGCCGGAUGAAUGGGGCCAUGGGUCUCGUGUCGUCGGAAUUUCGAGUUUUAUCCCAGCGGAUACGGCCCAGGCCUGUCGGCGAGCCUGCGUGGGCCGCGCUGGUCAAGGACACCGGCCCAGAGUGCAUCGUCACCGAGGCCACUGAGUUGCCCUCAAACUUGCUCGACCAUGUUGGAGUAGUAUAUACCAUGUCUAUGUCAGUAACGUCUCGACCACAAUGAAGCGAGUGGUGUGAUGAGAGUGGAUUCUUGGUGCACGGGUGCAUUGGAGCCCCUUAUUUACGUACUUUUAAAAUCACAGUUCAAGUUUUUAAAAAAUGACAAGAUGAUGAUUUCUAAAUAGUGAACAAUGCAUGCUUUCCAAAUAUAGUGCCUCAAUUAGAGAUGAAAAUGGAGUGGAAACUUUCUGUUUUUCCGGAGGAAAAAUGAAAACGAAGAGGAAAUAUGAAAACGGAAACGAAAAUUUACAAAACGGAAGUGGAGAUGGAAUUUUUUUAUGCGGAAACGGGAACAAAAACGGAACGGUGUUUUCCGGUGGAACAUGCAUGAAAACGGAACUUUCCGUUUUCGUGAAUAUGGAAUUUCUGUUUUUACUAUAUACCUAUAGCUGCUUUGUAGCCCAACCACCAACGAAAAUACAAUGACACAAUUAGUAGAAUGGAUCUGAGGCCCAACUUCUACUACCACACAUGCACUCAGCUUGACCUCGGUACUAAUACAAUACUACGCUAAGGUGCCAACAUAAUGAUAUUAUUUUGUAGCCAUGUUAACAACUCAUUUUUUUUUAUUUUGUGUGUAUUUCUCUAUGAUUCAAGGGGUGUUUAAGUUCCGAUCAAUGCCUAUUUUUGUUUCCGUAUCAGCUUUGUAUUCGCUCCAUGUCCAUCUUCGGCAGUAUCUGUUUCUGUAUUCAUUUCCGGGGUUUCUGUAUUCGUUUCUGCUUCUACAAAGAAAAUGUGAAAACAAAUAUAGUAGCACUCAGUUUCGUCCGUUUCCACUCCUUUUUCAUCCCUAGCCUCAAUGCACCCGUGCACCAAAGUGACCCGCGUUCUUUUUUUAUUGCCCUACUGCAUUCUCGUAAUAUAUGUCACCCUUCUUGUACAUGGUGGGACUGCAUUCUCGCCACACCACAAGUAACUAGAUCGGAAUCGCGCCUUGGCGCGAGGGUGCCGGUCCUAAUAUUUUGAUCAAGCAUGUAAUGUUAAGUUAGUAGAAAUCCAAAUUUAGCAUAUGCAUUCAUACAAGACAACUACCGAGCGAUCCAUUAAAUAUGAAUUUCAUAAUCUGAAACAUCAAUUACUGCAUCAAUUAGUAUAUAUCAGGGAAAAACAUAGAAACAAUAUAGUUCCGAAACAUAUGUGUCCUCUAAAAUCAGAAUCGACAUGGACAAAAAAAGGAAUUGUUGACAAACAACACUUGGAUGACGCAAAUCAUUCCAAGCCUACAAUUGAUAACAUGGUUGGGAACACAUAUGCCUGCCACGCAACUCUGUACAGGCCAGCCGCUGAGUGAUGUAUGUAAAUAAGGAUCUCACAAACUGCAACGAUAAUUGUUGCAUCAAUAUAUAAUAGGAAAGAUUUCAUAAAGAGCAAGGGUAUUACUAAUGGCACGGGGCAAGCAUUAUUGGCAUCUUGGCAGUCACUUAAUGGAUCAAUCUUUUGAUCGUCAUCUUCAACCUCCUUAGACAUUCUGGACAUCUUCUCUUUUAAAUCACAUGAAUGGUCUUCAAAUAGCAUUACCCACGAGGAUAUGCCUCAUUACCGCAAGCCACGCCGACGCAUACACCACAAGAAGGAGCAGCAUCACAUCCACGUCCUUCUCUGUGGUGUGGUGACGGUUGUGCCCGCAGAGCGCCGAGGAGCGAUGGCAACCUAGGUUAGGGCGGCACGAACAUGGUGACAACAAGAGAAAUAGGGAAGGAUAAGGUGCAUGAAAGAGGCAGGUCAAAGCCGCGAGGACGUACCUUGAGGACGGCGCUUCCUGACGUCCUCCUCCUUGAUGACGAGGAAGCACCAAGGGCAGCUUGAUGCUUGCCGGCGUCUUCCCUGAUGAAUUGGAGCCAAGCACUACAGGGUCAGAGGUGCAGCGCCUCGUGCUUCUCCCGCUGAGCAUAUAUAAGCAAUCAAACAAGAAAUGAGAUGCUAUAUGUGAAUAAUAUACGAAUAAGGAGAUGCUAUAUAAGUGACCAGCAGCGCGCAUUGGCGCGUGGUGCUGGGUCCGAUUGUUGUACCAAAGCGUGUGUUCCAGCCACGCAAGCUUAGCAUGUUUAGUGGCCUAUGAUAAAGCAAAAGCAUUUAUCCUAGAUCACAAAUGCGUGCGAUUGCCGCACCCGUCCAUGUAGAGGAAAGAACUACAUAGAUAUAGAAAAAAUGCAUGAAACAAUAGAAAUAUACAAAUUGUUUCAACAGUAAAUAAAAGUCAAAGGGUAUGUUUGGGGGUAACAUCCAUCAAGCCAGUAAUUCAAUAGCAUACAAUUUUUUUUGGUGAGACUAAAUGGUUUAUUCAUAUAAAGAAUAUACACGCAAAUUAAAAACUAUCAUUAGCAUUCAUGAUUGCACAUGGUAGUAAAUACUAAGAAAAUUAUUUAGUUGUGAUUUAUAUAACUGGUAUCACAACUAAUAAAAAUUAGUAGAUUACAGGUAAAUUAAGUAUAUCACCCUACAGUGUUUCAUCAUCUGUGCUAGUUUCACAACAUUAUAUAAAGACCUAAUUGCCACUAUCUUCAAACAUGACUAAGGCAAUCAACUGAAAAGUGAUGCCUUGAGUGGCAUGGUUCGCCACCCCAGUCUGUCCAUGAUGGAAGCUAUGGAGGCGACAAUCAGUUGGGUACCGCUUAUCAUAGUGAAGCAUGUCCAACCUGUAUUUGGCUAAUAUCUAUUUAGUCAAGCAUGCACAUAUAAACUUCUGCACUUCUUUAGAAAGAGCAAGAUUUAUACGAGUAUGCAGCGAAAUAAAGCAACAAAAUAAUAAUUAGCUUGUUAGAUUUUGGUAUAAAAUAAGAAGUUAUGGCGAACCUUCACAUCUAGUAAUAUCUUAUUUAUCUGUCCAACAUGAUCAGGGUCGUCGAUACAGCAGAGGCAAACAGUCACUGCCUUUUGAAUGUCCUGCAUACAGUAGAAGAACUACGCGUUAGUAUAUAUAUGAUGUCAAUUUUAUUUAACUUCACAAAAACACAAAUUUUACGCCGACCUACUUCUAAUCUGGUUCGUGUUUGUGCAACCUUCUCGGACUCCAAUGACAUUUAUCUAACCCAAAUAGCCUUUUGUUGUUUCUAGCGUCACUUUCAACAAGUAUAACUUUAUUAAUUCCUAGCCUGACCUGCUGAAAGUAUAUCUUUAUUAAUUGCGAGCCUGACAACAUAUAUAUUUUUUCAGUUUGACAUAGAAGCACAUUUCCAGUUCACCAUGAAGCAAAUUAAGGUAUGCCUUGCUGCCGCGCAACGAUAUUUCUUGUGCUUUCUCACGAAGCCAUUGCCUUAUUAUAAGUGCUUUUUCUUUUCUUUUCUUUUUCAAAUCCCUACAAAACAAUAGAUAUUCGAGUAUAUCCUCUGAAACUUAAAAUGGGGCCAUAUAUAUUCCGUAAUCAAGACUUCUGGACGGAUGCUAGGUAUGUAUUAGUUUGGUUUGGUUUCAUCUCAAAGAUUCAGCGCAACAGACCCUGCUGUUACUGCAUGAAUAAGCUGAAUAUUUCUGCUGCUAGCGAGUAACAGCCUAACAUGUCAUGUAUUUUCUCUAUCUAAUUUACGGCGGGACGGCGACUGCUUUGAUGUGCACUACAUCCUCGAUGACCCACCUUGUGUUGUGCCUCUGGUGCGCCCACCGACGUGGUAGUUGCGUCCACUGCCGCUAUCUCUGCUUACUCCAUAUCCUACAUCAACCGCCUUGCUAUCUUCCGCUCGGGCAGUACUCAACAUCAUAAUUUGGUGGCUGACAACAGGCCUCUUUCGCCUUGUCAACCUCCAAGCCCUUAAGUGCUGCGCUGGCAGCACCAUAGGUCCAGCUCCCUCCAAGGGCAGAAAUGAACAUGGCAGCAUCUUAAUUAAUUAAUAUUAAUAGGAUGGAUUAGUGUUAAGAAUACGAAUGGGGAAGUAGCUCAAAUGAUAACUGAAACUCCAGAUCAUUCAUGUAUCCCUCUAAACCUUCGUAACUGAAACAAACUCCAGGACCUCCUCUUCAUCCAGUCAGCACCGCAUAGCGCCAUGAAAAUGCAAGGAAAGGACGAGGGGGCUCACCUUGGCUUGAUUCCCGUCUGGUGUUCCUCCUAUCGAUGGCGACAAUGCGCUCUGGCGCUCCUCCUGGAAGCAUCUGCGCAAGCGGCAGCCUCCACUCGUCCCGAUGAUGGCAACACAGCGAGCCCGACGCGGCCUCCUCCAUGAUCUGCCUGAAUCAAGCAAUUGACCCAAAACAGGAUUAAGAAACCCCGUACAAAAAUGAGAUUGGAAAUACAUUAUCAUAGGGAAUUGUUGGUGGAAGAGGGGCAGAAAAAAUAAGAUGGUGAGCAAUAUAGUCGUGAACCAUAGCUUUUCCACCUUCUGCUGCUAGAGUAAGAAGGGCGGGCCUGUACGCGGCUGGCAGAGGAGGAUGGUGUGUCACGUUAGGUCAAGAAAUCAUGUAUCCAAGGCCAGCGCCCACGGAAAAACUAUUUUUAAUGCACAAGAAGCCAAAAAAAUUGUCUCAGCAGACAGAAAAUAGUAAACAUUUAAACUAAAGCAAGCAUCCAACAGUUUAUCAACAAAUAACUGACACAUCCCAUUGUUAGAAUGUAGUAGAAAUAGUGAACAUCAACAAAAAAAAAGAAUAACAGGGAAAAGAAAAAAUAUAGCAGAAAUAUUUACUAUGUGUUUGCGAGUUUGUCUUUUCCUAGCUGGAACAUCGUUAGAAUCACUGUUUCAAAGUAAGUCGAAAAUGCUCAAAAGAAUAGUUGUCACCUGGCUUAUGUUUGUGAGUUUGCCUUCUCCUAGCUGGAACAUCAUUAGAAUUAUAAAACCCUCCCAUCCCUACAGAAUGUCGAAAAAGAAACAAUUGGGCUAUUAGAUAGAAGUUAAAUUUCAUAGAAUCAACAUCUGAAAGAAAGCACUGAGAGGCAAUCAUAUAAUUAAAUUAUGAUAACUGGAAAGUUUUCUAAUACAAGUAAAUAAUUAACUUCAACCUUGCACUGAUCAUAUAUCUUUUGAACCAGAGAUAAGGGUCAAAAUAUAUUACUGUUAGCAUGAGAAUCCAAGAAUACUUGCUCUCGCACUGCACUAAUGCAAACCCCAUUGUACCAAACUACAUGACAAUCCUUUAUUUGGGACAUGAAACUGCCUGACUAAUGGUCGAAUUAUAAAACCUUAAUUAUAAUGGUCGAAUUGAAGGGGACAAAUCACCAUGUUUAGUAUUUGACCCUCUUACAGUUAUCACAGGGUUUCUCAUCACCAACCAAUCUGCACAAAUCUUACUGAUUGCUACACAUCCGAGGUCCGGUGCAAUAACUAAUCCUGCUCCAUGCACAAAGAAACAACAAAUGCAGGUCCUACCAGGAUUCGGACAAGGAACAAAAGGCAUAUAGGUACAUACAAAAAAACAAGCAAAGAGAAUAAUACACUUGACUUUUCCACAAACAAGACAAGAAACAAAAAGCCCUCAUUGGCCAGCCUGCACACCAAUCAUAUGGCCAUACAACCAUGCAACAAGCCUUGGAAACGAAGAGGAGUGGAAAGGAGGAGGAGAAGAGGUGUUGACCUGCAUAUCCAUGAAGGGAGAUGCAUGAGGCUGCUACCAGGAGUGGAAACGGAGAGGAGUGGAAAGGGGGAUAGACUAAAAGCACAAGAAUCCAGUAACAACGGACCAAUCAGGAAAGACAAAGAAAUAUCACUGAUGAGCAGCAGCCAACGAGCGAGAAUGGAAAAAAAUAGACUUGUGAAGCAGCUGAUAAGGCGAAGUGACCAGAAGAACAAGUGGCAUGCAAUGAAAUUACGCGAAGACAAAAUUAGGAACGAGGGGGACAUCUUCUUCCUCCCCAGUUGCCUCCUAUUCCUAUCCGGCUCUCCCCCACAACCUCCAUAUGACCAUGUCCUCCUCUUCUUCCUUCCCCCAUGACCUCCAUGGCCUCCAGCCCUUCCUCCCAGCUCUCACAUGUUGGCGUAUGAACAAGAGGAGACAAAGGAAGGAGGCGCACCUGGAGCAGCAGCAGCAAUGCUAGGGUUAGGGUUGGAGCAGCAGGAGGCGGCGUCCCAAGCAGGCCAUGGCAUGAGCGCGAAGCAGGCAGCCCGUACGUCACGCCACUGAGCAGAAGCACUCGGAGGCCAGGGUCGAACAACAGCUCUGGCGGAUCUGCGAGCGCCAUGGCCGCCGCCUGACCUGCUCGCUCUCCCUCUUCUCUUCCCGUCCCUUCUCAUGACGAGAGAAGGGAGGUUGCGGGCGGCGUGGUGCGAGGGAGAUGAGGAGAGAAGUCAGUGGCGGCGAGGUCUGACGAGCGGCGUCGGCGGCGAUGUGGGUGGGGCGGCGAUGUGGGUGGGAGAGGGCUGGCGAGCAGAGGCGGCGCGUGAGUGCGGGAGGAGGAGGAGGAGGCCGCUAGGUUUUACCACGGGAUUUAGCAUUGUUGAUUUAUACACGUAUGCAAAAUGACCAAAAUGCCCUUGGCGGGGUACUAAAUUAACACGCGGUGGCACGAAACGGGAAUAACUAUUCAUUGCUACAGGAGCGCGGCCUCGAUCCGACGGUCCAGAUCCUCCCACCGCUCAAUCCAACGGCCGGAAACCCAUCAAGCAAACGCAUCGGACGGCCAGAAUCGCCUGAUCGCUGAGAGCGCUCGGGAACGACUCGAUCCCUUAUUUCUCGAUGACGGGCUCCCGCAUGAGACCAUUAUUCCUUCUCGUUAUCACAAACGCACUAUAUAUACUAAGCCACGCGGUUGUAUCCGGCGGCGGAGGAACGAGGUGACGUAUUGCUCCUCCUUUGUUGGACGUUUCUGCAUCUUGUUUUUUUUUGUGGAUUGCCGCUCAUUGUAUGACUUAUGAUGUUCUUGUCGAAAGUCCUCCCAGAACCUGAGACCUCAUACUUGGUACCCAUGGCGUAUUCAAUAUCUUGAUAGUCUGUAAUCAUUUGGGCCCUACAAUAAGCUAUGUCUGUAUCUGAUAAGUUUCCCCCAGUUGAGUCAAAUUAAGCCGCAGGCUCCAUGCCAAGUGGUGCCAUUCCGUCGAUUCCUUUAAGUUUCAGCCUUGCGACCAUACCCCCUAGAAACCAAAGACUUUGAUUUCUCAUAAGGUGUUGGUGGCGUCUUAUAAGCAACAUCCGUUGAUCCCUGGUCGUCAUCGUUUAUGGUUGAGACAAAGACAACAUCUCCAUAAUCAAAGGUAUCAUGCAACUUUAGUGAGCUUAUGACAAUAUCGCCAUAACCCCGGUCAUUGCUAUCUCCUUUUAAAGGCCAUGAUAUUCCCUUUUUUUCCAUGAACGACUGCCUUUUCUAGGACCAUUAAUGGAUGCCAUUGAGCUAAAUAUCCUCUAGUGCUUUUCUUUUAGUUUUUCUAGACCUCCCAGAACUUCGAUUAUUUUGGAACAAAGGAAGCAUGUUGCUUAGGAAAAAAAAUGAAAUAACAAGAAACGCACGAACUGCCUUAAAAAUAUGAAAUUAGCCAACAAAUAAGCCAAAAUUUUACAUGAAACUUGUAAGUGGAGUAUUUUUAACUUGAAAAUUGGAGUUCCUAUUCAAACCUGACACUUCCCCUUUGAAACUUUGAUUCUUCCCUGAAGGCUCUUCAGUUUCUAAGUGAACAACAUCAAGACUUUACUGUAACUCUCUCGAAUUCUUACAACACCCAAUAAGGGAGUUAGGAUAAGAGAUGUAGGUUGGAGUUAUAUGCAGGCAGCUAAACACUUGCAAUAUUGUGCAACUAUUACAUAGUGCUAGUACCUCAAGCAUGAACCAUCAAAAGAUCGCUAUGUCACGCAAUUGAACAUGAUCCAAAUUAUGACAGACGAACCACACAUCAAACAACAAUACCCCAUGAAUUUCAUGAAAAAAAAGAAGAAGAAAAAGCAGCAGCCCAUGGAUCCAUUGAUUGAGCAAGAUCCAUUUGACUCCCAUACGUCUUAUUGAUAGUAGCAAUUGAUCCCAACUGAGGAAACUAACCAAGCAACAACAACAGACGGGAUCAUGCAUCUAAUUAUUCAGAAGAUGGAGCUUAUUCAUCGACCACAAGCAAUGGAUGGCUGCGGGCCUAGCCGAUGUAGUACAUGGGGUCGGGCAACUUGAAGGUGCGAGCGCCCUCGGGAGCGCCGAGGAUGUCGCUCCACUGGUCGCCGAUGUUUCCCACGACGACGUACCCAGCGUCCUGCAGCUUCUGCCUCUCGCCAGACUUGUAGGUCACCGUGGAACCCUUGAACCAUGGUUGCUUGAGGAGCAGGUUCAUCCAUCCGGAGAUGCCCUGGCGGCAGAGGUUGGCAACUGUGAUGGCCCUCCGGUGCUCGGUCCGUCCUGUUAGGAACACUGGCUUGAUGCCCACCGCGAGCAGCUUGUAGUACAGCCGUUUUGUCUCCGGUAGCGCAGGCGCGCUCCCCUCCAACACAUAAGCGUUGUAGCUCGUCGCGUUGUACGGCCUGGCCCUGCAUCAUGGGUUGAUGUGCAUACAUUAUCACAUGUCCAUGGGUUAAUGAGAUGUCAGCUAGUAGAUCUACAUCCUGAAGAAAUUAAACCAUCUUCAUGUUGUUCCUUAGACAUCGAUCAUUGUAUCACAUGGAAGAUGAUUUUUCACGUCAU
rnacentral:lncRNA from 1 species